CCGGCGCACGGGUGAGUAACGCGUAUGCGACCUGCCCGUUGCAGGGGGAUAAUCGGGAGAAAUCCCGUCUAAUACCGCGUAACGCCGCGGGGCUGCAUGGCCCUGCGGCCAAAGGGAGCGAUUCCGGCAACGGAUGGGCAUGCGUGACAUUAGCUAGUUGGCGGGGCAACGGCCCACCAAGGCGACGAUGUCUAGGGGUUCUGAGAGGAAGGUCCCCCACACCGGUACUGAGACACGGACCAGACUCCUACGGGAGGCAGCAG
rnacentral:rRNA from 1 species